AUUGAACGCUGGCGGCAGGCCUAACACAUGCAAGUCGAACGAGUGGCGGACGGGUGAGUAAUGUCUGGGAAUCUGCCUGAUGGAGGGCGAUAACUACCGGAAACGGUAGCUAAUACCGUAUACCAUCAGAUUUGCCCAGAUGGGAUUAGCCAGUUGGUGGGGUAACGACUCACCAAGGCGACGAUCCCUAGCUAGUCUGAGAGGAUGACCAGCCACACUGGAACAGAGACACGGUCCAGACUCCUACGAGAGGCAGCAGUGGGGAAUAUUACACAAUGGGCGCAAGCCUGAUACAGCAAUGCCGCGUGUAUGAAGAAGGCCUUCGGAUUGUAAAGUACUUUCAGCGGGGAGGCGUUACCCGCAGAAGAAGCACCGGCUAACUCCGUGCCAGCAGCCGCGGUAAUAC
rnacentral:rRNA from 1 species